GUAAUAAUACCAAAAUGAAAAGUAUUUCUAGUAGGUUUUAGGCCUGUUGCUUUUUAAUGAGUGUGUGACUGGCCUCCAAAGUGUCCUUUCAGUGGACUCGCACAAUGGUGAAGAUGAAGAGCCGCUGAUUAUGUAUUCUGUGGCGCUCCUCUGGCCCCGGUGCAUUAUGGUCCGGCAUAAAAGCUCUCUUUGUGCCUGUCUCCCUCCAGAGCAGAGCCACAUUCCAGAGCUUCUCCUGGACACUGGCGUCCCAGAAGGCCCCACUGUCCCGCGCCUACAGAGUCCACAGGAUCUCCAGCAAGACCCACCAGCCAAACAAAGCCAUGAGGUGGCAGAGCAGGAGGAUGACAAGGAGCAAAAAUGGAAAAGAGAAAGAAAGGAAAGGGAAGAACAAAGACUGAGAGAGCAAGAAGAGGCCAGAGAGAGGGAGCUGCAAGAACUGGAGCGACUGGAGAAAGAACAUCUCUUGCAAGAGGAAGACCAACCACCAUCAAAAGAGGAGGUGAUAAACACUGAAAACAGUGAGAGACAAGAGGAACAAGAAACA
ensembl:lncRNA